UACGGAGGGUGCAAGCGUUAAUCGGAAUUACUGGGCGUAAAGCGUGCGCAGGCGGUUUGUUAAGUCUGUUGUGAAAUCCCCGAGCUCAACUUGGGAAUUGCAAUGGAUACUGGCAGGCUAGAGUAUGGUAGAGGAAGGUGGAAUUCCCGGUGUAGCAGUGAAAUGCGUAGAGAUGUGGAGGAAUACCGAUGGCGAAGGCAGCUUUCUGGCUCGUAACUGACGCUGAGAUUCGAAAGCGUGGGUAGCAAACAGG
rnacentral:rRNA from 1 species